AACGAACGCUGGCGGCGUGUUUAAGACAUGCAAGUCGAACGGGGUGAAGUUGUAGCAAUACCGCUUCAUCCAGUGGCGCACGGGUGCGUAACACGUGAGUUACAUGCCCUGCAGUGGGGAAUAGCCCGCCGAAAGGCGGAUUAAUACCCCAUGGUUCCCGCGAGGGUAAAGGUGGCCGCAAGGCUGCCGCUGCAGGAUUGGCUCGCGGCCUAUCAGCUUGUUGGCGGGGUAACGGCCCACCAAGGCGACGACGGGUACCUGGUCUGAGAGGAUGAUCAGGCAAACUGGAACUGAGACACGGUCCAGACACCUACGGGUGGCAGCAGUCGAGAAUAAUUCACAAUGGGCGAAAGCCUGAUGGUGCAACGCCGCGUGGAGGAUGAAGGUCUUCGGAUUGUAAACUCCUGUCAUCGGGGAGUAAGACCUGGGCGUGAAUAGCGCACAGGGUUGAUAGUACCCGAAGAGGAAGGGACGGCUAACUUCGUGCCAGCCGCCGCAGUAACAC
rnacentral:rRNA from 1 species